GAUGAACGCGGGCGGCGUGCUUAACACAUGCAAGUCGAACGAAGCUGCCUGGAGGAAGUUUUCGGAUGGAAUUUAGGUAGACUUAGUGGCGGACGGGUGAGUAACGCGUGGAUAACCUGCCUUAUACAGGGGGAUAACGGAGAGAAAUUUCCGCUAACACCGCAUAAGACCACAGCACCGCAUGGUGCAGGGGUAAAAUAUUUAUAGGUAUAAGAUGGAUCCGCGUCCGAUUAGCUAGUUGGUGAGGUAAAGGCCCACCAAGGCGACGAUCGGUAGCCGGCCUGAGAGGGUGAACGGCCACAUUGGGACUGAGACACGGCCCAAACUCCUACGGGAGGCAGCAGUGGGGAAUAUUGGACAAUGGGGGAAACCCUGAUCCAGCGACGCCGCGUGAGUGAAGAAGUAUUUCGGUAUGUAAAGCUCUAUCAGCAGGGAAGAAAAUGACGGUACCUGACUAAGAAGCCCCGGCUAACUACGUGCCAGCAGCCGCGGUAAUACGUAGGGGGCAAGCGUUAUCCGGAUUUACUGGGUGUAAAGGGAGCGCAGACGGCAAUGCAAGUCUGAAGUGAAAGGCGUGGGCUCAACCCAUGAACUGCUUUGGAAACUGUAUAGCUUGAGUGUCGGAGGGGUAAGCGGAAUUCCUAGUGUAGCGGUGAAAUGCGUAGAUAUUAGGAGGAACACCGGAGGCGAAGGCGGCUUACUGGACGACAACUGACGUUGAGGCUCGAAGGCGUGAGGAGCAAACAGG
rnacentral:rRNA from 1 species